AUUGAACGCUGGCGGCAGGCCUAACACAUGCAAGUCGAGCGAGCGGCGGACGGGUGAGUAAUGUAUGGGGACUGCCCGAUAGAGGGGGAUAACUACUGGAAACGGUGGCUAAUACCGCAUACUAUCGGAUCACCCAUAUGGGUUUAGCUAGUAGGUAAGGUAAUGGCUUACCUAGGAGACGAUCCCUAGCUGGUCUGUGAGGGUGAUCAGCCACACGGGGACUGAGACACGGCCCAGAAUCCUACGGAGGCGGCAGUGGGGAAUAUUGCACAAUGGGCGCAAGCCAGAUGCAGCCAUGCCGCGUGUAUGAAGAAGGCCAUAGGGUUGUAAAGUACAUUAAGUCGGGAGGCGUUACCGACAGAAGAAGCACCGGCUAACUCCGUGCCAGCCGCCGCGGUAAUUC
rnacentral:rRNA from 1 species